rnacentral:rRNA from 1 species
GCAUCUCCCCUACACUGAGAUAAUUGCCCAUGCAAAUUGGGCCAUCCUGACUCCCAGUUGCUAGCCCAACAAACGUUCCUAAAAAUUAAAUAUUUUUAACAACAAAUAAACAAAAACUCCCAAACAAACCAUUUUUCCCCCUAAGUAACUAGGCGAUAGAAAAGGGACCAUUGAGCAAUAGAUGAAGUACCGCAAGGGAACCCUGAAAAAGAAAUGAAACAACUCAACACUACAAGAACCCAAUAGCAGAGACUCCCCUCGUACCUUUUGCAUCAUGAUUUAGCAAGUAAAGCCCAAGCAAAGAGCCCUAUAGUUUGAGACCCCGAAACUUAAGCGAGCUACUCCAAGACAGCCCAACUGGGGCAAACCCGUCCCUGUGGCAAAAGGGUGGGAAGAGCUUCGAGUAGAGGUGACAAACCUACCGAGCAUAGUUAUAGCUGGUUGCCUGAGAAAUGAAUAGAAGUUCAGCCCCCCGGCUUCCUACCCCACCUUAGUACUACUAAAUUACGGCUACAGGAAACCAGAGGAGUUAAUUAAAGGGGGUACAGCUCCUUUUUAACAGAAACACCUU